rnacentral:rRNA from 1 species
GUGCCAGCAGCCGCGGUAAUACGAAGGGGACUAGCGUUGUUCGGAAUUACUGGGCGUAAAGCGCACGUAGGCGGAUUUGUUAGUCAGGGGUGAAAUCCCGGGGCUCAACCUCGGAACUGCCUUUGAUACUGCAAGUCUCGAGUCCGAUAGAGGUGGGUGGAAUUCCUAGUGUAGAGGUGAAAUUCGUAGAUAUUAGGAAGAACACCGGUGGCGAAGGCGGCCCACUGGAUCGGUACUGACGCUGAGGUGCGAAAGCGUGGGGAGCAAACAGGAUUAGAUACCCGAGUAGUCC